UACGGGAGGCAGCAGUGGGGAAUAUUGCACAAUGGGCGCAAGCCUGAUGCAGCCAUGCCGCGUGUAUGAAGAAGGCCUUCGGGUUGUAAAGUACUUUCAGUCGUGAGGAAGGUGUUAAGGUUAAUAACCUUAGCAAUUGACGUUAGCGACAGAAGAAGCACCGGCUAACUCCGUGCCAGCAGCCGCGGUAAUACGGAGGGUGCGAGCGUUAAUCGGAAUUACUGGGCGUAAAGGGCACGCAGGCGGUUAAUUAAGUUGGAUGUGAAAUCCCCGGGCUUAACCUGGGAAUGGCAUUCAAGCUGGUUAGCUAGAGUCUUGUAGAGGGGGUAGAAUUCCGAUGUGUAGCGGUGAAAUGCGUAGAGAUGUGGAGGAAUACCGGUGGCGAAGGCGGCCCCUGGACAAAGACUGACGCUCAUGUGCGAAAGCGUGGGGAGCAAAC
rnacentral:rRNA from 1 species